GGGCCGUUAGCUCAGUUGGUAGAGCAUCGGACUUUUAAUCCGCUGGUCGCUGGUUCGAAUCCAGCACGGCCCACCA
rnacentral:tRNA from 5 species